UGACGGUAUCAUAUGAAUAAGCACCGGCUAACUCCGUGCCAGCAGCCGCGGUAAUACGGGGGGUGCAAGCGUUACUCGGAAUCACUGGGCGUAAAGAGCAUGUAGGCGGGUGAAUAAGUUGGAAGUGAAAUCCUAUAGCUUAACUAUAGAACUGCUUCCAAAACUGUUCACCUAGAGUAUGGGAGAGGUAGAUGGAAUUUCUGGUGUAGGGGUAAAAUCCGUAGAGAUCAGAAGGAAUACCGAUUGCGAAGGCGAUCUACUGGAACAUUACUGACGCUCAGAUGCGAAAGCGUGGGGAGCAAACAGGAUUAGAUACCCUGGUAGUCCACGCCCUAAACGAUGUACACUAGUUGUUGCUAUACUAGAUAUGGCAGUAAUGCAGUUAACACUUUAAGUGUACCGCCUGGGGAGUACGGUCGCAAGAUUAAAACUCAAAGGAAUAGACGGGGACCCGCACAAGCGGUGGAGCAUGUGGUUUAAUUCGACGAUACGCGAAAAACCUUACCUGGCCUUGACAUAGUAGGAAUCUUUAAGAGAUUAGAGAGUGCUAGCUUGCCAGAACCUACAUACAGGUGCUGCACGGCUGUCGUCAGC
rnacentral:rRNA from 1 species